AACCCCCAUUCCCAGUCCCCCCUGCACCACCAGAGAGGAGAACAUGGAGAAGCUGAAAGAUUGCUAGAGCAUCUUGCUGAAUACCUGGCAGUCUACCAAGGUCAACCCACCUGGGUUACUGGUCAAGAUCAAUCCACCACAUUUACAAAAGAAAGGAUCACUUGAACUUGCCACAGCAGUGUGGUUCAAAUAGUAUUAUCACACAUCUGCUCUCAUCCUGAAAAUAUUGCAAAGAGAGGCAAGUAGGACUGUAAACAACAAUACAGGUAUGUAUGUAUUUCACUCAAAGAAUCUAAAUUAGCAGACACUACCUGGACUGGUUCUGAUGUGUCUUCAACGUAUUCCCAGCCUAGCAUGUCAAACACGUUGCUAUGGUGAGCUGCUUUAUUAUGACUUUUUUUGUUUUUCUUAAUGAAAAGAAUGUUUUUUUUAUUGCAAAUAACAGAAAAGAAAAAAAUCUCUGAAGUGCAACCUGCAAUGGCAGAUAUACAACACCUAUAUUAGUUUAUUAUUGUUGUAUAUCAUCACAGUUUUUUACAUAUUUAUGUAUGAUUGUUUGUGUGUAAUUUCUUCUUUGGGAAGAAUAGGUUAUGUAAGCUGAGAAAUAUUUCAGAUAAAUCCUUAUGCCUCACAAGUAUAUAACAAGCAUUCUUGCACAAUUAUUUUGAUAAUAAAAUAUUGUGCCAAAUUACAUUCUGGAAACAGCUUCUUUUAUUUUU